rnacentral:misc_RNA from 1 species
GGCGUGGCCAGCCGCCGUGGAGCUGUCUUUUCACUUUUGCGCCCGUUGUGCAUAUCUUGCCCGGGCAGGGCAAUUGUUUUCGGCUGUUUGUGCGGAUCUACCCUUGCGGGGAACAUCGUUGUGUGCGUGAUGGUUUUGCUUGCGCCGUCGAUACUUGUUAUCGUCGGCGCAGCCGUUGUGUCCGGCGGGUUACUUGCGCGGCAUGCGGCGAAUGGCCCCGUGCCGCGCAUGUAUUGCGCCGGGCUCUCAUGGAUGCCGUGUUUUGUUUGAGGUCUCCGCGGGCCGUUGGCUCCUCGGUUUUCCUCGGGUUGUCCCAUGUGCGUGCCGUUUCUCCGUCGCUAUGCUCUGCCGUCGCGUAUGUCG